ACAAAAGUUUUUUAUUUAGUUAUUUGUAAUAUUAUUUUUACAUGCUGCUACUGGCUUCUUUUUAAAACAAUGUAAAAGCUGCUGCUCUCUAAAGUAAAUGCCUUAUAUUUGAAAAUAUAACCUUAAUAAGAUGUAUUUCUUAUAAUGAUGCUUUUGACAUUUUAUAUAGAAAAGUUGAGAUUGAGAAAGUUUUUAAACUUUCUAUUUUUAUCUGCUCAUAGUCCUAUAUUUGAAGAUUUGCAUAACACUAAUAGCCUAAGAAAGAU